rnacentral:rRNA from 1 species
UACGUAGGGGGGCUAGCGUUGUCCGGAAUCAUUGGGCGUAAAGCGCGUGUAGGCGGUCCGGUAAGUCCGCUGUGAAAGUCGAGGGCUCAACCCUCGAAUGCCGGUGGAUACUGUCGGGCUUGAGUACGGGAGAGGCGAGUGGAAUUCCUGGUGUAGCGGUGAAAUGCGCAGAUAUCAGGAGGAACACCGAUUGCGAAGGCAGCUCGCUGGAACGUUACUGACGCUGAGACGCGAAAGCGUGGGGAGCAAACAGGG